CAAGUCGAGCGCCCCGCAAGGGGAGCGGCGGACGGGUGAGUAACACGUAAAGAAUCUGCCCUGAAGCGGGGAAUAACUAUCCCAACGGAUAGCUAAUACCGCAUAAUGAUGGAGGUGGCAUCACCUCUUCUCAAAAGGCUUCGGCCACUUCAGGAUGACUUUGCGUCCCAUUAGCUUGUUGGCGGUGUAACGGACCACCAAGGCGACGAUGGGUAUCCGGCCUGAGAGGGUGUACGGACACAUUGGGACUGAGAUACGGCCCAGACUCCUACGGGAGGCAGCAGUAGGGAAUUUUGCGCAAUGGGGGAAACCCUGACGCAGCAACGCCAUGUGUGGGAUGAAGCAUUUCGGUGUGUAAACCACUGUCAGCAGGGAAUAAAAGGCCUUAUAGGCAUUUGAAUGUACCUGCGAAGGAAGCCCCGGCUAACUUCGUGCCAGCAGCCGCGGUAAUACGAGGGGGGCAAAUGUUGUUCGGAAUCACUGGGCGUAAAGGGAGCGUAGGCGGGUUCUUAAGUAAGGUGUUUAAUCCCGGGGCCCAACCCCGGACCGGCACUUUAAACUGGGAAUCUUGAAUAGUGGAGAGGUCAGUGGAAUUGGGGGUGUAGCGGUGGAAUGCGUAGAGAUCCCCAAGAACACCAGUUGCGAAGGCGGCUGACUGGACACAUAUUGACGCUGAGGCUCGAAAGCAUGGGGAGCAAACAGGAUUAGAUACCCUGGUAGUCCAUGCCAUAAACGAUGAAUACUAGGUUUUGGGCCCGUCAACGGUCCAGAGCCGCAGCUAACGCGUUAAGUAUUCCGCCUGGGGAGUACGGUCGCAAGACUGAAACUCAAAGGAAUUGACGGGGGCCCGCACAAGCGGUGGAGCAUGUGGUU
rnacentral:rRNA from 1 species